UGGGGAAUUUUGGACAAUGGGCGCAAGCCUGAUCCAGCCAUGCCGCGUGCGGGAAGAAGGCCUUCGGGUUGUAAACCGCUUUUGUCAGGGAAGAAACGCGCUGAGCUAAUACCUCGGCGUAAUGACGGUACCUGAAGAAUAAGCACCGGCUAACUACGUGCCAGCAGCCGCGGUAAUACGUAGGGUGCAAGCGUUAAUCGGAAUUACUGGGCGUAAAGCGUGCGCAGGCGGUUAUGCAAGACAGAUGUGAAAUCCCCGGGCUCAACCUGGGAACUGCAUUUGUGACUGCAUGGCUGGAGUGCGGCAGAGGGGGAUGGAAUUCCGCGUGUAGCAGUGAAAUGCGUAGAUAUGCGGAGGAACACCGAUGGCGAAGGCAAUCCCCUGGGCCUGCACUGACGCUCAUGCACGAAAGCGUGGGGAGCAAACA
rnacentral:rRNA from 1 species